AUAUCGAGGAUGUAGUGAAAACAGAAGUUAUUGAGGAAGCCUUUGCAGGCAUGUUUAUGGACACACCUGAGGAUGAGAGAACAAAACUUAUCAGUUGUCUAGGUGCCUUUCGUCAGUAUUGGAACACUCUUCCUCCGG